rnacentral:rRNA from 1 species
UACGUAGGGUGCGAGCGUUGCCCGGAUUUAUUGGGCGUAAAGGGCGCGUAGGCGGCCACGCACGUCCGUUGUGAAAUCGCCCGGCUCAACUGGGCGGGGUCAGCGGAUACGGUGUGGCUCGAGCAAGCUAGGGGGCAAUGGAAUUCCCGGUGUAGUGGUGGAAUGCGUAGAUAUCGGGAGGAACACCAGUGGCGAAGGCGGUUGCCUGGACCAUAACUGACGCUGAGGCACGAAAGCGUGGGUAGCAAACAGG